rnacentral:rRNA from 1 species
UGACUGUGCAAAGGUAGCAUAAUCAGUUGACUCUUAAUUGGGGCCGGGAAUGAACGAAUGUACGGAGAAGAGCUGUCUUUUUAGUGUGUGCGAAUUUGGUUAACAAGUGCAAAUACUUGUAUGUUUUAAUAAGACGAGAAGACCCUUGAAGCUUUAGAAAAUUCUUUUGUUGGGGCGACAGAAUUACACUUAACUAAUUUGCUAAGACCUGAAGGCUACAUGCGCGUUUAAGCUACUCGAGGGAUAACAGCAUAAUUU